rnacentral:rRNA from 1 species
CGAGCGGAACGAGUUAUCUGAACCUUCGGGGAACGAUAACGGCGUCGAGCGGCGGACGGGUGAGUAAUGCCUAGGAAAUUGCCCUGAUGUGGGGGAUAACCAUUGGAAACGAUGGCUAAUACCGCAUGAUGCCUACGGGCCAAAGAGGGGGACCUUCGGGCCUCUCGCGUCAGGAUAUGCCUAGGUGGGAUUAGCUAGUUGGUGAGGUAAGGGCUCACCAAGGCGACGAUCCCUAGCUGGUCUGAGAGGAUGAUCAGCCACACUGGAACUGAGACACGGUCCAGACUCCUACGGGAGGCAGCAGUGGGGAAUAUUGCACAAUGGGCGCAAGCCUGAUGCAGCCAUGCCGCGUGUGUGAAGAAGGCCUUCGGGUUGUAAAGCACUUUCAGUCGUGAGGAAGGUGGUGUAGUUAAUAGCUGCAUUAUUUGACGUUAGCGACAGAAGAAGCACCGGCUAACUCCGUGCCAGCAGC